rnacentral:rRNA from 1 species
CCUACGGGUGGCAGCAGUGGGGAAUAUUGCACAAUGGGGGAAACCCUGAUGCAGCCACGCCGCGUGAGUGAUGACGGCCUUCGGGUUGUAAAGCUCUGUCUUCAGGGAAGAUAAUGACGGUACCUGAGGAGGAAGCAACGGCCAAUUACGUGACAGCAGCCACGGUAAUACGCAGGUGGCGAGCGUUCUCCGGAAUUACGGGGCGGAAAGGGAGCGUAGGCGGACUGUUAAGUGAGAUGUGAAAUACUCGGGCUCAACUUGAGUGUUGCAUUUCAAACUGGAAGGCUAGAGUGCAGGAGAGGAGAAUGGAAUUCCAGGUGUAGCGGUGAAAUGCGUAGAGAUUAGGAAGAACACCGGUGGCGAAGGCGAUUCUCUGGACUGUAACUGACGCUGAGGUUCGAAAGCGUGGGGAGCAAACAGGAUUAGAUACCCGGGUAGUC